AGUGAACGCUGGCGGUAGGCCUAACACAUGCAAGUCGAACGGCAGCACAAGAGAGCUUGCUCUCUGGGUGGCGAGUGGCGGACGGGUGAGGAAUACAUCGGAAUCUACCUUUUCGUGGGGGAUAACGUAGGGAAACUUACGCUAAUACCACAUACGACCUUCGGGUGAAAGCAGGGGACCUUCGGGCCUUGCGCGGAUAGAUGAGCCGAUGUGGGAUUAGCUAGUUGGCGGGGUAAAGGCCCACCAAGGCGACGAUCCGUAGCUGGUCUGAGAGGAUGAUCAGCCACACUGGAACUGAGACACGGUCCAGACUCCUACGGGAGGCAGCAGUGGGAAAUAUUGGACAAUGGGCGCAAGCCUGAUCCAGCCAUACCGCGUGGGUGAAGAAGGCCUUCGGGUUGUAAAGCCCUUUUGUUGGGAAAGAAAAGCAGCCAGUUAAUACCUGGUUGUUCUGACGGUACCCAAAGAAUAAGCACCGGCUAACUUCGUGCCAGCAGCCGCCGUAA
rnacentral:rRNA from 1 species